CAGUCGCCACGGGAAUACGAGGGGGGCAAGCGUUGUUCGGAAUUAUUGGGCGUAAAGGGCGCGUAGGCGGCGAUCAAAGUCAGGCGUGAAAUUCCUGGGCUCAACCUGGGGGCUGCGCUUGAUACUUGGUUGCUUGAGUGGGGAAGAGGGUCGUGGAAUUCCCAGUGUAGAGGUGAAAUUCGUAGAUAUUGGGAAGAACACCGGUGGCGAAGGCGGCGACCUGGUCCUUGACUGACGCUGAGGCGCGAAAGCGUGGGGAGCAAACAGGAUUAGAUACCCCCGUAGUCCCUGUCUCUUAUAU
rnacentral:rRNA from 1 species